UGUUGGACUACAACUCCCACCAUCCCUGAGCCCUGGCCUUGCUAGCUAGGGAUGAUGGGAGUUGUAGUCCAACA